rnacentral:rRNA from 1 species
GACGUAGGGCGCAAGCGUUGUCCGGGUUGAUUGGGCGUAAAGAGCUCGUAGGCGGCUCGUUGCGUCGGCUGUGAAAACCCGCAGCUCAACUGUGGGCCUGCAGCUGAUACGGGCGGGCUGGAGUUCGGUAGGGGAGACUGGAAUUCCUGGUGUAGCGGUGAAAUGCGCAGAUAUCAGGAGGAACACCGGUGGCGAAGGCGGGUCUCUGGGCCGAUACUGACGCUGAGGAGCGAAAGCGUGGGGAGCGAACAGG